rnacentral:misc_RNA from 1 species
UGCUUUCUCUUUAAUUGGAGAAAUAAUAACUGGGAAGGGAGCUCUAGCACAACUCAACAUUGAGACUGGAAUUCCCAUCAAUGAAAUCGAACCUCUUGUCUUAUUCAACGUUGUCUUCUUUUUCAUUGCUGCUGUUAAUCCUGGAAAUGGCAAGUUUGUUACCGACGAGGAUGAAGAUGAUUAGAAGAUGAUCUUGUCAUGCAUGUAAAAAACUGCCUUAUUCUGCAAAAUACUGUCUUCCUGAAUUCCUUGCUCUGGAAAAUGUCUCUAAUAAUUUUUUUUAUUUAUUUAUAAUGUAAAAAUUAAAUAUUUUGAUAAAUCAAGAGCCACUCAAAUUAAAUAUUAAAA